rnacentral:tRNA from 1 species
AAGGAUUUAAGUUAAAUAAACUAUUAACCUUCAAAGUUAAAAAUAUAAAUACAUUAUAAGCCUUA